UAGAUAUAAAAAGAUAAUUUAUUUGCACUAUGGCAUAUUAACACGUUCUAAAACCUCAUGUUUCUCAGAAGAACAAGUAAAGGACGUUUAUAAUUACAAUAGGUCGUUGAAUAAUCAUAAAUAUUUUUGACUGCCAGAGGAGGUUACAGCCCAUUGAAAUGAAGGAGAGGACGGGUUAAUUACUGCAUUCGUGAUCUAAUAUUAAUUCAUCCAGUCACACAAGCAGAAAAUCAAUUCUCUACAAUUUAUUCCUAUAUUCCACAAAUAAUCAUCUAACUUCCUAUCUACUGAUUUCCUCUGAAGCACCGUUUAUUUUGUAAUCAUUAGUAAAUCAUCCAUAUUAAUGUCCUGUAACCCCUCGUUCUACUCCGUGCCUAAAGGGUUAAAUUCUAUGUUAUCCAUGGAAAGGGCUGUUUGAGUUCCAGUCAUGGCAUUAGACUUUCUGCAUAAGACACUCAAAAUACACUGUAUAGACGGGAACAUUCCUGAGAGAGUGCAUUUUGUACAGUUUUAUGGCUGCCACCGGGCCGUCCCUAUUCAGUAAUGUACAUAUGACAAACUAGAGAUGCAGUGGAACUUACAAAUUAUUACAUAAAACACUAUAAUCUGAUGUUCUACCCCAAUAAGCACAGUUUCCCGCAGUCUAGCACAUUUCUGCACUAAUCCAAAGGGACAUCAUAGAAAGACCAUUGAGGGAGCAUAGAAAAGAUCCUAUCAUUGCAGUGCUGGUUAUAGGAACUGUAACAAUUUGUGUAGAUCCUCAAAGCUGUGGCUUCAUUUCCCAAACCAAGUUCUACACAGUUAGACAGACCAUUUGCUGUGUGAAAUACAAUGGCUUGAUUACCUUGAUAUGUAACAACUAUGGCUGUAAGUGAGCUUGAAGAUGGCAAUCUUCCUAUGAUUCAAAGAAAACGAUAUAAUACAAAUACAGAACUAAGCUUAUUUUUGCCCAUUUUUGCUUUAAAUGCAUUGUUCCGAAUUACAUCAAUAACUGACACCUACCAACCCUCAGCCUGUCCUUUGCAUGGAUGGAUAUUACAAUCCAAUACAUUGACUUAUAUUAAGACCAGAACUAAGAACCAGAACUAAGAAUCAGUACACGCAAUCAGUGCGGAAAUUCUUUAAGAGUAGACUAGGUACGCAAAUGACUUUAUACUUGCCAACAUCAAAUAUAUUUAGCUUCUAAAUAUGGCCUCAAUUUAAUAUUGUUGCAUAAGUUUUUGAAAUGAUUUAAUAUUUUUGGACACACUUUUAAAACAAUUUAAUAUACUAAAAAUAUGUUAUUAAAAGAUAUUUUUGAUAAAUUAAUAUACAUUAUUAUUUUUAGAUUUUGAAAAAAAAUUUUUUUAAGGUUUUUUCCCCCCCCAAAAAAUAAAUUAAAUCAUUAGAAAUGUGUAGCCAGCAAUAUUAAAUCAAGACCAAUGCCGGAUAUUAUGAAUUCAAUUUUUGCAUUGUUUUAGAUACAUUUUUAAAAUUAUUUAAUAUUAUGAAAAUAUUUU